rnacentral:rRNA from 1 species
GACGAACGCUGGCGGCGUGCUUAACACAUGCAAGUCGAACGGAAAGGCCUCUUUCGGGGGGUACUCGAGUGGCGAACGGGUGAGUAACACGUGAGUAACCUGCCCUUGACUUUGGGAUAACUUCAGGAAACUGGGGCUAAUACCGGAUAGGAGCUCCUGCUGCAUGGUGGGGGUUGGAAAGUUUCGGCGGUUGGGGAUGGACUCGCGGCUUAUCAGCUUGUUGGUGGGGUAGUGGCUUACCAAGGCUUUGACGGGUAGCCGGCAUGAGAGGGUGACCGGCCACAUUGGGACUGAGAUACGGCCCAGACUCCUACGGGAGGCAGCAGUGGGGAAUAUUGCACAAUGGGUGGAAGCCUGAUGCAGCAACGCCGUGUGCGGGAUGACGGCCUUCGGGUUGUAAACCGCUUUCGCUCAUGACGAAGCUUUGUGUGACGGUAGUGGGUAAAGAAGCACCGGCUAACUACGUG